GUGAAGAAAACAAGGAGGAAAAAUCCAAAGCGAGCUUGUGUGUGUUUUUUUUGUGCGCUUCCGGAGAUCUGGAGCUAGCUGAUGCUGCUUGGCUGAAAAUGUUAGCCUUAAUGACAUCUGGACGGAGAUUCCUAACUUGAAGGUGUCACAAGAGCGUCGAUAUUUGAGGAGUCCAUUGUAAAUGGGAGCUGGGCUGAAUCUGGAUCGGUCUCGUGAAAUAUGUGGAUAAAGUGGUAUAGAGAACGCAGUUUCAUGGCUGCAUUGAGACCACUGGGACUCCUGGGAUGCAGAAUGUGGGUCCUCUUCACCCUUGUCCACCUCACUAUGGAUCUCUCCAUGUGUGCUCCAGUGGGGACUGGGCUUAGGCUGCUCCCUCGGUCACUGCCUCGCUUACGCCCUCGUCUUCUCACCCGGGAUAUACCCAGUGGUCCACACUGGAGGACUCUCGGUACCUGGCAGCGUGGUGUCUCACAACCGGUACCAUUACCCGACCACCGAGGAGGAGGAGUAGGAGGAAGAGUGGGGUUAGGGUCCAAACCACGGCCACAGAGGCACAAACGUCAUCUUUGUGAGAACUGCACCUCCAGUUUCCCUGUCUCAGAGGGAGGCGAGUCGCUGGAGUUUUUGGAGGGGAGUAAAGCCGACAUUGUGCAGCACUUUUUGCGACAACGCAGGCAGUUGAAGUGGGAUAGUUAUGAUAGUUAUUCGCAGGAAGGAAGGACCACUACAGUGGCAGGAUUUAUUGACUGGGGGCCCACUGGGACGGAUGAUGGCGCAGAGGAUGAGGUGAAAGUUAUCCCCAAGACCACGGCCACUACAAAGUCCACCACCACCACUACUACCACUACUACAACUACCACGACCACACGCAGCCCACAAAGGACUCAUGCAGUGGUCACUACUGCCCGUCCAAGGAGGCUGAGUACCACACAGCCUGCUGUUAAUCUCGGCGUGACCGCCAAGCCACAGAAGCCAUUUGGAGAUACACCAGGUUUGGCAGUGCAUCAGAUCAUCACUAUCACUGUUUCCCUCAUCAUGGUCGUUGCAGCCUUGAUAACAACACUAGUCCUUAAAAACUGCUGUGCACAGUCGGGGAAUGGCCGCCACACUAGCCACCAGAGGAAGAUCAACCAGCAGGAAGAGAGCUGCCAGAACCUGACUGACUUCACGCCGGCACGUGUGCCCAGCAAGGUGGACAUCUUCACCGCCUACAAUGACAGUUUACAGUGCUCUCACGAGUGUGUGCGCACCGCUGUGCCAGUCUACACAGACGAGAUGAUCCAACACACACCGAUUUACAAGACCACCUACAAUGGAAGCAGACCAUCACCAACUGAAAGACAGCUAAUCCCUGUGGCCUUUGUGUCUGAUAAAUGGUUCGAGAUCUCCUGCUGAAGGCCUUUUAGUACCUGUGGGUAACUGCAGCUUCCUCAAUUUUGGACCCUGAAUCCCAUUGGAACACCUUGAAUUCUGAAAUAAAGAAAACUUAAAAAUACAAAACAAUAAAAGAAACAAAAGCCCAUAUAUUGCAGAAAGAAGAAUAAGAACGUACGCACCGUGUUUUUUUACAAACUAUGGAUUUCCUGGACAUGGAGCGAAGAUGUUUAUUUUUCUAAGCUGAUCACUGAUGAGAGUCGUUCUAUGGUUCCCACUCCAGAUUAUUUUCCAUGUAAACUUCCGGUCAUUUAGAAAUGAUACAAUAUACUUAAAGCUAAUAUAUUAUAUACAUAAAUUACUGUAUGUGUAGAAGUAUCCGAGGAAGAUCACCACCACAGACAUGUUGGAAUGCUGUUUCCCGAUGGGCUGCUUUCUGUGAAAAGGGCGAACAGACUUUUCAGAACUAUGUGCCAAUAACGCCAAUAUGUGCCAAUAUGUACAGAUGGGACGCGUCUGGGAGUCUAUUGAAAACUACAGACACAACGACGAGUCAUUUCUGUGACAGUUAUUCUAUAUCAACCCAUCCUUUUUUUGUAUAGAAUCUAUAAAUAUGUAUUUGAACUAUGUUUUGAAAUAGUUGAACAAAAUGUGUUGCAGACGUCCAAAAAUAUUUAUAAGGAGCACUAUUUGAUUUUGAUUAGGUAAAAGAAACGAAAUGACGAGAACCUUGGCUGACUUUUGAGUUUAACGUAUUGUUUUUAGGCCCUGUUUUAAAUAGAAUAGUCUUCUCUAUUUUUGUACACACAAACACACACACAUACAUGCACACACACGCACACACACACACACACACACACACACACACACACACACACACACACACACAUAUAUACUCAGACACACAUCACCUUACUCAGUUGUGGUGCAUCAACUCUUGGAACUGUUAAUAUGAUAUUCAGUCGGGGGGAAGAGACAUUUUGAAGACCCUCGUCGUUAUUAGUGAUGAUUCAGUAAUACAGGUCCUGAUGAUUGUUCAUCCAUAGAAGCCAUUUUAUUUGCUACGGGGUGCCAUUACUUAUAAAUGACAGUUGGUAUGUUGGGUGGCUAUGGUCACAGUUUGUGUAUUAUAUCUAUACUGUCAAAGAGCCUUAGUCAUUGGUUGGUCAAAUUUUUCCACAAUGGUACGCAAUACAUUUUCACGGUUUGUGCAUCAAAAUUUAAAAGACUCCUUUUCUUUUCUUUUCUUUUCUUUUUUCUUUUCUUUUCUUUUUUUUUUUUUUUUUUACAGAAACUGUACAGUUAUCCGUUUUCUAGGACUUAAUAUCAAACACAUCACAUGCUUUAUUUUUGUGCCAAGUCAUUGUUGAGUGCCAAGUCCAAGUCAUUUGAAUCAUUUAAACACACACUCAUAACAUUUAUAUUAUUUAUUAGUAUGCUUCAGAAAGUAAGAUGUAUGUACCAAAUGCAGAAAUGUCACCUGGUGUGAUGCUGAAGUGGAUUUUUAUUUAAAACUGUAUGGCUAAUUACAGUAUACAGAGAGCUGUUAAGGUUUUAUUUCAUUUUGUGCUUCUUCUCAAAUCUUAUUCCGAUUGUGAAAUGGUAAAUAAAAUUAAUUUAUUAUCCAACCAGUUGAAAGGAUAGAAAUGACCCAUGAUAACACUUGAAAUGGGAAGGUAGCUGAGUGUGUGCCUG